GUGCACCAGGCGCGAAACCUCCUCAAUGCACUCACGUGCGAAGGGGUUACCUCGAGUGCCGCCUGAAGAAGGCGGCUUUUCCAUGGUCUAAAAGCCUAGGGAAUAAGAGGGGGCAAGACUGGUGUCAGCCGCCGCGGUAACACCAGCCCCUCGAGUGGUGGGGAUGAUUAUUUGGCCUAAAGCGUCCGUAGCCGGCCAGGUAAGUCUCCCGUUAAAUCCAGCGUCUCAAGCGUUGGACUGCGGGAGAUACUGUCUGGCUAGAGAGUGGGAGAGGUGUACGGUAUUCUGGGGGUAGGGGCGAAAUCCUUUGAUCCCCGGAGGACCACCAGUGGCGAAGGCUGUACACUAGAACACGUCUGACGGUCAGGGACGAAAGCUGGGGUAGCGAACCGGAUUAGAUA
rnacentral:rRNA from 1 species